rnacentral:tRNA from 1 species
AAGAUACUAGUAAAACAGUACAUUACAUUACCUUGUCGAGGUAGAAGUGUGGGUUAAAUUCCCACGUAUCUUG